UGGGGAAUAUUGCACAAUGGGCGCAAGCCUGAUGCAGCCAUGCCGCGUGUAUGAAGAAGGCCUUCGGGUUGUAAAGUACUUUCAGUCGGGAGGAAGGUGGUAAGGUUAAUAACCUUAUCAAUUGACGUUACCGACAGAAGAAGCACCGGCUAACUCCGUGCCAGCAGCCGCGGUAAUACGGAGGGUGCAAGCGUUAAUCGGAAUUACUGGGCGUAAAGCGCACGCAGGCGGUUGAUUGAGUCAGAUGUGAAAUCCCCGGGCUUAACCCGGGAAUUGCAUCUGAUACUGGUCAGCUAGAGUCUUGUAGAGGGGGGUAGAAUUCCAUGUGUAGCGGUGAAAUGCGUAGAGAUGUGCAGGAAUACCGGUGGCGAAGGCGGCCCCCUGGACAAAGACUGACGCUCAGGUGCGAAAGCGUGGGGAGCAAACAGG
rnacentral:rRNA from 1 species